rnacentral:lncRNA from 1 species
GUUCAGAAGCAACCAACAACAGUCUCUCUUUUUAUUAAUUUCAGGUCUCAGGAGGGAAUCUGAAUGGUGACUGGAAUCUCCACUAUAAAAUCGCUCACACAUGUGCACCAAGAUGUAGGUCCAAGUGUUACUGCAGCUGUUCUAGUUCCAACAAAAACUAGAAACAAUUUAUGUGCACACGCCAGGAAGAACACAAGGACCCAGUGUUACUCGACACAUCUACUGUCUGCUAUAUCUGGGGGUAAAGUGCAGUGUAGUGAUCAAGAGGAAGGCCUACAGCCCAGCUGUCUAAUCUCACCUAUGAGGUCUUUACAUUCUCAUAAAUAUAGCAUAUCCUUGGCACAGCUGUAUGGAUUCAAUAUAUUCUGAAGGAAAAAAGAACUCCGUGACUAAAGACUUAUCUCUUAAUGUCAUCCAAAAUGUAAUAAUAUAUUUUGAGGAUCAGAGGAAACGCUUCCAAUGGAUAUAAUGAGAGCACAUCUAGUUAUAUUCUCCUGCUGACAAAGAACAUUUCAGUUUCAUUGACUUUGGUGAAUAACCUCCUGUGAUUGUUUGAGAAACAAGUUCUAAGAAAGAAUCUGAACAAGCAUUCAAAUGCCAUACUGUUGAGCAUGAAGACAAGGAUGUCUGCUUAUACUUUCACCAAUUCCAAAACACUGAGGUUUGUAAAGAAAAUAACCUCCACACUUCACAGAUCUUCUCCUCAGCCCAGCUCCCCGUGAAAGCUCAUGCUGGCAAUGCAAUAAAUCCCUCUAGGUAUUGGCCA